rnacentral:lncRNA from 1 species
GUUUGCUUCUGAUUGUAUAUCAGCGUGAAGGAGAAGAAAGACAAAGAAGCAAAAGUUUACCUAUUUACGAUCGUGUGUAUCUGUUUGGACCUGAUGAUUUUACUUGGGCCUAUUUUGCUCAGAAUAUUUAUCUCGGCCCAACAAGUAGUGAUUCGAGAAAUCAACAGUAGCUACAGUUCUUGUCUGGGUUCGACAUGGAACUUCACCGGAUUUGACUUGUGUUUAGAAAUUUCAGAUUUGUGAGAAGAAAAGAGAAGAAUUUGUGAAUGGAUUAAAACUUCUUCUUCACAACCAGAAAUUGAGUUUGAGAAUCUUCAUCUCUGUUGAGAUUAAGUGAAAGAUUUGCGAGUCGUUGAGCUCACAGGUGGAGAUUAUGGUAAAGAAAAUCAGCUUUGAUUUGUCAUGUGUCGAAGCUAUCUGAUGGGCUUGUAUACAUUUUUGGUUCUAUAUUUCAAAGGGUUCUCGAUUCAGGAUCAUCUCAAGUUAUUUUUGAUUAUUGGCAAUGUAAUCAACAGAAAAGAGGUGAUUUAAAGUAAGACAUGGAGUGCUAUCUCCUCUUGAUUGGUCAAUCGCAAUUUGAAAGGAAGCAAGGUGUUUUACGUUGAAGAAUCAUUCAAGCAUAAAGAAUGAGAUGAUUGCUGAAGCACAAUCAAAAGUGAUUCAUGGAGACACAAGAGGCGAAAAGAGAAUUGUGAAAGUAGAACAGAAAUUUUGGUUCUGAGGUUAGGCUCUUGUCGUAUGUCAAAAUGAUAGCUAAAUUCAUAAGAAAGAAGACUAGAAAAAGUUUUGAGGUGGCUGUUCAGGAAUUAUAAGAGAGAAGAGUUUAAGAACCUAGCUGAAUGAUGGUCUUCCUAAAAAUUUAAUUCGAAUUGUAUCUCACGAAGGAAAGGUGCAGAUUUUUUUGAAGUCUUAGAACAAUACUCAAAAUGUGAUGCUGAAAUGGGAUAUUAAAGCAGUUAGUAAUUCUCUAAAGGAGAGACUAGAGAGCUCAAGCUUGUAGGAGAUUCAUAAAGAGUUCAUGAGAGAGAUGAAAUUAUGUGGGAAACAGUGUGAUUGAAAAUUGGCUAGAGUCACCGAAGCUGCAGAGUUAUUGAUCGGUCGCGUUUGGAAGAGGAAUGGAUCAACAUUUGACAACGUUUAGUUAUGUGAAGUAUUUUGCAGGAGGAGACACGAAGUGUUGUCAAUUCGGAUAUGGAGAAGCCACGAAGAGGUAAGUGAUUUGAGAGACUGCAUCUUGAUUGGUUGAAGUCUGAUCUGGAAGUGUGUUGA